GGGACCCCAGGCCAGCCCAUUGAAGCAGCCUGAAAUGAGGCCAUUCUUUGAAGAUGCCCAUUUUCCUCUGUUUGCAUUCCAGACCACGCCUCCAAAUCCAUUGAUCUUCCAUUUGGCUGUUGGCCUAAUGACCUAUAUGGACUCUCGUGUUCAUAUCUUUCAUGAUCUACAAAACUUUGACUGAAACCUGAUACUCGUCUGAUUUCUUGAUUAAGAAGCCUGCUACAUUGUGGUAGAACUUGUAUAAAUGGUACCAACUUUUGCCUCUCUGCCAAUAAUUCAGCCACGUAUCUUUCACGAUCUGAGGGAAGAGAAUUGGACCUAUGAGGAGAAGCUUGAUGGGCUCCAGAGGG
rnacentral:misc_RNA from 1 species